rnacentral:lncRNA from 1 species
UACUAAAGUUAAUAUAAUCUAAAUUACUUAGAAAUUACAGUAGGCCAGAACCCUUAGAAAUAAAAACAUCUAACAAUACAGAUUCUAGAGUAUUCUUCCUCAUUAAUGAUUUUGUUAGGUUAUGCUAUUUAAUUUGAGAAGACUUAGUCUCUAGAGGAGAACUCCCUGGCUUCCAUCUAAAAUAGUGGCCUUUUUCCUAUGGCGGUUAAUUAAACUGUGUAUUCAUAAAACGACAAUGUUUCCUACAUUUAAUCUGUAAAUAGCAGAGAAAAUAACUCAGCGAAGAACAAGUUGAAGGAAGUCGUUCAUUUUGCUGAUAAAAAUUGAGCAUCUCGAAUUUUUUCUAUAAAGAGCACUUUGUACAUUUAAUAGUUUUUUAACAUAAGAUCGAUAGACAAUGUGUUUAUGUGCGUGUUGGAUAUCAAACAGUGGUCUGAACUUGACUUAGAUGGUUUGCGUUGCUUACACCAUAUGCUUACAGUAAUUUACUGAGAAGCUGUUCCAGACAGUGCCGUGCCGCAUGGCCAAGUAGCUAGAAGCAUCGCUAAGCAUCAGCAGGUGUUCUCAAGGGUCUUCCUUGGACCCCAAGCCGCAAGGCUACAAAGUGUCAGCUGUUGAUAAAGUUACAUUUCACAACAAAUAGAUACUAUAUUGCUUGAUUAGCUUGGUGCAUUUCUAAUACUUUUUUUUUGCUUUCAUAUUUCAGAGGGGAAAAUUAUAUGUGAAGAUAUUUUGAAAUACUAUAAAGUGAUAAAUAGUUCUAUAUUUCUGUACGGUGGAGAUGUUUCUGACAUUAAGAUUAUUGUAUUCUGCAUUUUCAAACUCAUUCUAAUAGGAAAGUUUAAAUCGUCAUCAUGGUCUUGAAAAAUCUUAUCGGCUUCUUCCAAAUCGAGGCUUGUUAAUUAAAUUGUAUAGUUUUGUUUUUAGGUUUUGAAAUUCUAAUUCUUAGUUUUAAGGAACGGAAGAUCUACAACUCAGGAGUUACUAGGAAAGUUUUAAUAUUUGAUUUUUUUUUUGGCGUUACAUAUAUAAAUACUUGAAUGUGUAAUAAAAACCUGUCCUAGCCAUGACACAUUGUACCACGCCCUCCUGAUUUUCAUAAUUUACCAGGAAUGAAGGUAGGAUGGGUUGAGAAGGAAGAACCAUACACCUAGGUAGUCCUUAGAAAGAUCAUUUUGCUAAGUCAACCUACAUGUCAAAUGGUAUUUUAAAGUAGUUAAUGAACACAGCAUAUUUGCUUAGUUAUCUUAAAGUCAAAGUUUGUCACACAGCCAUUUAGCCAAGCAAAUUUAAAACUAUUCUCCAGGCUCCUCUAAACAGAACAUUUAAAAACUUAGUUAUAAUUACAUCAACAGACCUUUGAUGACUAUUUGGAGUAAGAUUUCCUAGUUACAGGAGGAUUGGGGAGUAGUUGAUUUUGGACUAUUUUCCUUUUCCUUUCACUGCGUGCGUGUGCGCGAGUAUCAUUCAAGGUGGGGGUAGUUUUAAAGGAAGAUGGCUGCAGUGAAUGUCGUAUAGAGUAGCCUAAUAAUGCUUGUCUACUUACCUCUUUAAGCAUUGACUUUGUUGCAGGAACAGAUUUGUGUGGGAAAUCUCUAGGCUGACAGUGAAAACUACCCUACCUCCCGCACUGUUCUAGGGAGCCAGUCCCACCAAGCAGAUUGCACUCAGGGACAGUCUGUAUUUAGAAAUCUCAUUAUUGAAAUAAACACUAUAGUUCUAACUUGAAUGCCUAGAGGUUUCAGAUGUGCCUUAAUGAACGUAAAUGGUUUUCAUUCAGAAGUUCUCAUUACUAUCCCAUUGUAAACUCUUGCCACGAGGAACCCAGAGCACCCAUUCUUAAAGAGUAUUCAUCUCAAUAUUUAACAAUGUGUCACCUUUGCUGAAAUGAUUCAGAGGAGCAAAGAUUCUCCUGCACUGGUUAUUUUGUUUCUCAGUUCUGUUACAUGCUGGCCUGUUUAAACAUCCUUUGGUUAAUACAAGUCAUAAUGGUUCCUCUUAUCUUCUGUUCUUGCAUUCAGGUGGCUACGUGAAAUGGAAUGUUAUUAGAGAAAUUACUCAAGCCUUCAUUCUCGUAGUUGUUAGGAGGAAUCUGAAAUUAGUUUGAAAAACCUUAACAUUACCUUCUUAGUCGACACGUUUAGAAAGGCUUGUCCUUGCUUUCCCUCUAGAUUAGAGAAAGUAUUCAAUGUCAUCUAAUAUCACCAGUUCUCUUGUGAAAUUUGUUUUCAUUAUUUGUGGAAAGUAUUUUCUUCUUGAAUUAAAGUUUCAUGUGGACAUUCUUGUCAUGUACUCGUGUGGCUCUAACCAUGGCUGGCUGGAAGUGGAGUUGAGAAAGGAAGACCCAGCUAAAAAGCAUGGGAUCAUCUUGAAAGCAGAGUAAGCCGCUUUCACGGGCAUGAGGGACCAUCAGCCGUGUCUCUGGAUCAUGAAGGUGUGAUCUCUGAUGUCCGGGAUAAUAGACCUUCUUGG